rnacentral:rRNA from 1 species
AGUGAACGCUGGCGGUAGGCCUAACACAUGCAAGUCGAACGGCAGCACAGGAGAGCUUGCUCUCUGUGUGGCGAGUGGCGGACGGGUGAGGAAUACAUCGGAAUCUACUUUUUCGUGGGGGAUAACGUAGGGGAACUUACGCUAAUACCGCAUACGACCUACGGGUGAAAGCAGGGGACCUUCGGGCCUUGCGCGAUUGAAUGAGCCGAUGUCGGAUUAGCUAGUUGGCGGGGGAAAGGCCCACCAAGGCGACGAUCCGUAGCUGGUCUGAGAGGAUGAUCAGCCACACUGGAACUGAGACACGGUCCAGACUCCUACGGGAGGCAGCAGUGGGGAAUAUUGGACAAUGGGCGCAAGCCUGAUCCAGCCAUACCGCGUGGGUGAAGAAGGCCUUCGGGUUGUAAAGCCCUUUUGUUGGGAAAGAAAUCCAGCUGGCUAAUACCCGGUUGGGAUGACGGUACCCAAAGAAUAAGCACCGGCUAACUUCGUGCCAGCCGCCGCCGUAA